AUUGAACGCUGGCGGCAGGCCUAACACAUGCAAGUCGAGCGGAUGAAGGGAGCUUGCUCCUGGAGUCAGCGGCGGACGGGUGAGUAAUGCCUAGGAAUCUGCCUGGUAGUGGGGGAUAACGUCCGGAAACGGGCGCUAAUACCGCAUACAUCCUGAGGGAGAAAGUGGGGGAUCUUCGGACCUCACGCUAUCAGAUGAGCCUAGGUCGGAUUAGCUAGUUGGUGGGGUAAAGGCCUACCAAGGCGACGAUCCGUAACUGGUCUGAGAGGAUGAUCAGUCACACUGGAACUGAGACACGGUCCAGACUCCUACGGGAGGCAGCAGUGGGGAAUAUUGGACAAUGGGCGAAAGCCUGAUCCAGCCAUGCCGCGUGUGUGAAGAAGGUCUUCGGAUUGUAAAGCACUUUAAGUUGGGAGGAAGGGCAGUAAGUUAAUACCUUGCUGUUUUGACGUUACCAACAGAAUAAGCACCGGCUAACUUCGUG
rnacentral:rRNA from 1 species